UUAUACCGUGAAACUGCGAAUGGCUCAUUAAAUCAGUUAUCGUUUAUUUGAUAAUACCUACUACUUGGAUAACCGUGGUAAUUCUAGAGCUAAUACAUGCUGAAAAUCCCGACGGAAGGGAUGUGUUUAUUAGAUAAAAAACCAAUGCCCUUCGGGGCUUUUUGGUGAUUCAUGAUAACUUUACGGAUCGCAUAGCCUUGCGCUGGCGACGGUUCAUUCAAAUUUCUGCCCUAUCAACUUUCGAUGGUAAGGUAUUGGCUUACCAUGGUUUCAACGGGUAACGGGGAAUUAGGGUUCGAUUCCGGAGAGGGAGCCUGAGAAACGGCUACCACAUCCAAGGAAGGCAGCAGGCGCGCAAAUUACCCAAUCCCGACACGGGGAGGUAGUGACAAUAAAUACUGAUACAGGGCUCUUUUGGGUCUUGUAAUUGGAAUGAGUACAAUUUAAACCUCUUAACGAGGAACAAUUGGAGGGCAAGUCUGGUCCAGCAGCCGCGGUAAUUCCAGCUCCAAUAGCGUAUAUUAAAGUUGUUGCAGUUAAAAAGCUCGUAGUUGAAACUUGGGUCUGGCUGGCGGGUCCGCCUCACCGCGUGCACUCGUCCGGCCGGGCCUUCCUUCUGAAGAACCUCAUGCCCUUCACUGGGCGUGUGGGGAUCAGGACUUUUACUUUGAAAAAAUUAGAGUGUUCAAAGCAGGCUUUGCUCGAAUACUUUAGCAUGGAAUAAUAAAAUAGGGCGUGCGUUUCUAUUUUGUUGGUUUCUAG
rnacentral:rRNA from 2 species